UACGUAGGGUGCAAGCGUUGUCCGGAAUUAUUGGGCGUAAAGAGCUCGUAGGCGGUCUGUUACGUCUGCUGUGAAAACCCGGGGCUUAACCCUGGGCUUGCAGUGGAUACGGGCAGACUAGAGGCAGGUAGGGGAGAAUGGAAUUCCCGGUGUAGCGGUGAAAUGCGUAGAUAUUGGGAAGAACACCAGUGGCGAAAGCGGACUUCUGGGUUGUUACUGACGCUGAGGUACGAAAGCGUGGGGAGCAAACGGG
rnacentral:rRNA from 1 species